GAGAGGCCCCUCUCUGGCUCGGAGCCUGGCCUGGGUCGGGUCUCUGCAGUCCCGGCUUCUCCCUCCCAACCGGAAAGUCUCGCCCAGCAGUGCAGCAGGCGUGUGCUCCCAGUUCGGGAAUCAGCCGGGCUGGACUUCGGGGCAGCCCAGGACAUUUUGCCUGUGGUGCGCGUUUUCCCGGAGGUUUCUUGGGAGUUACCGAAGGUUCUAUCCUGCUGGCUUCAGCCAAGACUUCUUGGGGCACACCUGGCCCCGGCCCUGGCCCAGUGGACAGCUGGCUCCACACACCCUCUUCUGUCUAUCCCAAGAGGGCAUUGCAGACUUCUGGGUGUAAACCUCUGCUCCACCACUUAAUAUCAUUUUAACAUAAUCAUUGAAUUGUAUUGUGCCUUGGUUUCCUCAUCUGAACAAUGGGUUCACAGCAAGUGUGCACGGUUUUGUGGUUUAAAUGUGCUCUUCCUCAUCAAGCCCAGGGCUGUGAUUCUGGCCAGUGCUUGGCAAGUGUGGGCCUCUGGCAUGAAAGGGAAAUUGGAGACUAUGUUUCACAGGUGGGUGACCUGAGUCAGGGAAAGGCGGCAAUUUGCUGCAGGUCCCACAACUUCACCGGUGACCUGGACUCCUGCCUGGCUCGCAGCUUCAAUCCUCUCACCUGCCUGUGGCCCAGGUGGGCACCACCAGCCACCAGUUCGGCACAGACAUUUACUAGGAGGUUCUCAUUUCACUGUUUUUUAUUAUUCUAUUUGGUUUCAUUCACAUCAAGACCUUCAAGAGCCUCAGGGAGGAAACCACAGAGAUGAUCACAUUACUAUAACUGAAAAUUAAUGGACUGCUGGCAGUUCUAAAAGAAAAACAAAUUAAAGAUUUCAGAUGGGGACAAAGAAUGUCACCCCUUUGCAGUGUAGGUUCCGUACCAUUCUCCACUCCACUGCCAGACCCCGCCCCUCUGUGAGUUGGUCACUGCAAGCCUUGAGAUUGCAGAGAUAGGCGAGGUUGCUGUGGAUGCUGUGAGGCAGCAGGCUACCCUGUCCUUGGAAGGGCCACACCUGUGAUCGGAGCUCUGGGGACUGGGCCCAUGCUCUGGGGGUGGAGGUAGCUCCAGAUCUCCCAAAGUCCGGGCGGGCCUGGUUGAUGAGGCAGCACUCUGACUUAAUUGCUUUACAAUCAGAAAACUGGAGGUUCAGCUUCCACUGGUUGGUUACCCAGUGUCAGAUGUUGGCUCCAUCUGUGGCCCUUCCAAGACUGCCUCCCCUUUUCCUCUCCUCCUUAUCAGUUUUUCAACCUUCAUAGUCCACGUCUUCCAGACAGCCCACGGUGACUAAUCCAGCACAUGGCUCCCACUCUCCAAACUCAUGGCACCUGCACAGUCCUGACCACGAGGCCUGGUGCCGAAACCUACACUGUUCCAGUUGCCACUUGAGUAGAUGCUGCUGGCGCCUGUGCACAUCACCGUGGCCCUCCCGCUUCUGUGCAUGCCAGUGGCCUCUUAAUGCAGGAAGUGGCCACUCCCUCCUGAGGGCAAAUAAACGGCACUGAGGCACCAUUUGGUAAACACGAGACCUGCCGCCAUCAGAAGACCGACAAUACCAAGUGCGGAGAGACGCAGAGUAGCUGGGCCUCACAUGUGGCUUGCAGAAGUGUGAAACGCUUAGCACUUUUUCUUUCAGUCUUGCUCUGUGGCCCAGGCUGGAGUGCAGGGAUACGAUCUCGGCUCACUGCAACCUCUGACUCCUGGGUUCAAGCAAUUAUCUUGCUUCAGCCUCCUGAGAAGCUGGGAUUAUAGGCAUGUGCCACUACCCCCAGCUAAUUUUUGUAUUUUUAGUAGACAGGGUUUUGCCAUGUUGUCCAGGCUGGUCUUGAACUCCUGACCUCAGGUGACCCGCCUGCCUCAGCCUCCCAAAGUGUUGGGAUCACAGGUGUGAGCCACCACAUCUGGCCACUUAGCAUGUUUUAAUAACGUUCCAUACACAUCCAACACCCAGAAAUUUCACUUCUAGGUAAUUACUCAAGAGGAAGAAAAAAUAUGCUACAAAAAGCCCUUUCAAGACAGCUUUAUUCAUACUAACCAAAACAUAGAAACGACCCCAGUGUCCAAAGUGUGAACGAAUGAAGGAAUGUGACGUAUUUUCCAUGGCGUGCUACUUGGCAAUAAAAAGGAACCAGUUACGA